rnacentral:ncRNA from 1 species
GGACCCAGGUCCAGGCGGGAUUACCGCUGAGUUUAAGCAUAUCAUAAGCGAGGAAGAAACUUACAAGAUUCCCUCUAGUAACCGGCUGAGCGAACCGGGAACAGCGCCCAUGCCUUAGAAUCGGAUCGGGCACUUGCCGUUCGAAAUUGUAGUCUGGAGAAGCGUCCUCAGUCGGCGGACCGGCCGCAAGUCCCACUGGAAAUGGGGCGCCCGGAGAGGGCAGAGCCCGCGUUGUGCCCGGACCCUGUCGCACCACGAGGCGCUGUCUACGAUCGGUUGUUUGAAUGCAGCCGCCAAUCGGGCGUGAAUUCUCGUCCAAGGCUAAAUAACGGGCGAGAGAGCCGAUCAGUCGCGAACAAGUACCGGCGAGGGUAAUAAGAUGAAAAGGACUUUGAAAGAGAGUCAAAGAGUGCUUGAACUUGUCGGGAGGGAAGCGGAUGGAGACGCGCGAUGGCGCCCGGUUAGUGAAUGUGGAAGGUGAGAGCCGGUUCAACCGAUCUACUCGGGCGCAGACCAGCGAGAUUCGGGGGCGCCAAAGCGCGGGCCUUUUGAUACGCCCCGCGCACGUCGUCUCUCGAUCGUGACAACGCAGCGCGCGCACCCUGGCGUUGCCUCGCACCUCUGCGCGCUCACGGUCGCUGGCGCUUGUGGGUCUCCAUUCGAGCCCGUCUUGAAAAACACGGACCAAAAGGAGUUCUGACAUGUGUGCGGUCAAGCGGGCGAGUAAAACCCUAAGCGCAAGAAGCUGAUUGGCGGAUCCCCUCACUGGGGGUCACCGCCGACCACCUUGAUUCUUUUGAGAAGGGUUCGAGUGCGAGCUAUACCUGUCGGGACCCGAAAGAUGGUGAACUAAUGGCCUGAGAGGGGCGAAGGCCAGAGGAAAACUCUGGUGUAGCCCGCAGCGAUACUGACGUGCCAAAUCGUUCGUCUGAACUUGGGUAUCAGGGGCGAAAGACCACUCGAAAAGCGCGCUAAAGUAGCUGGUUCCCGGUCCGAAUUUCCCUGCAGAUAGCUGGAGCUGGCGGCGAGAGUUCUAAUCGGGUAACAGCCAAAUGAUUAGAGGCAUCGGGGCAGUAACGCCCUCGACUUAAUUCUGCAAACUUUAAAUAGUAGGGACGGCCGCG